rnacentral:RNase_P_RNA from 1 species
AAAGCAGCACAUCCAGUCGCUGAUAAUAUCAGAGGAAAGUCCGGACUCUAAAGGGCAUAAGGCUGGCUAACGGCCAGGAGCAGCGAUGCUACGGAAAGUGCAACAGAAAACAAACUACCUGACUUGAUCAGGAAAAGGUGAAACGGCGGGGUAAGAGCUCACCGGAACAGUGGCGACACGGUUCGCAAGGCAAACCCCCUUAAGAGCAAGGUCUAAUAGAGAUGCCAUCUGCCGAGGCAGAUAAGGGUUGCCCGCCCGAUGCAUCCGGGUUGACCGCUAGAGGCGUCAGGUAACUGCCGUCCCAGAUGAAUGACUGGAUUUUACAGAAUCCGGCUUAUGUGCUGCUUUUUGA